rnacentral:rRNA from 1 species
UACGUAGGGUGCGAGCGUUGUCCGGAAUUAUUGGGCGUAAAGAGCUCGUAGGCGGUGUGUCACGUCGGCCGUGAAAACCUGCAGCUUAACUGUGGGCGUGCGGUCGAUACGGGCAUCACUGGAGUUCGGCAGGGGAGACUUGAAUUCCUGGUGUAGCGGUGAAAUUCGUAGAUAUCGGGAGGAACACCAGUGGCGAAGGCGGCGAUCUGGGAAGAUACUGACGCUGAGGUGCGAAAGCGUGGGGAGCAAACAGG